rnacentral:lncRNA from 1 species
UGUAUAAUACCUGACUGGAGUGGCACAGUGCCUUCGGUCCCCAGGCGCCACAAUCACUUCACUAACCCCCUGUACUAGAGUGACGUUCAAGUGAAUAGCUCCACUGAUCACACUCUUUCCUGCUGAUUAACACUUUCCAACACGACCAGGCGCUCGGGUUCCAACUUUUCCUUUUAAAACAGCAGCAGCCAGCACUGCUUGCCUCCUCGGGUUAUAAACGCCGUCUGGGGCGUGGGGGACACCAUAAUUAAUAGCAGCUUGCCUGUUAGGCACUCAACCUACAGAGGGGCAACACCUGACCUAAGUGGCACUGGAUGUUGCAGCAUGGUGUGAGAACUCUGAUGGCUUCCAUGGGCAAAGAAGGAGAACAUCAGUCAUGUGGAUGCCAGAACCUAACAGGAGCCCUUCACUCUUGCCGUUCAUUGCCUGGGAAAUUGUUUUUGGGCUGA